CCAUUUCACCCAUCUUCCAUCAUCUCUCUCAUCUCCUGCAUCUCUCAGUUACGGACUGAAGAAAGACAAAUGUCGCUCACUGAUCUGACUCCGGUGGACUUAUCUUUGGUUGAUCUCUCCCUUGAAGACCACACAACUGGCGACUAACUGCGACAGGUAAAUGAACUAAUCUGUUUCCAGCUUUUGCCGACUCUAUUUUGUUGGUUUUCCAUUCCGAUCUUUAAGAUCCUGCUGUGUUUUGCCCCGUAGUGAUGGUAUUUGGUGGUGGAAACAUCGAUAUGAUCAUCAUCUUUUUUUCCCAAUUUCUUUUUUCUUCUACGACGGGUAAUUUUUUUUUCCUUUGCCAAAACACCCCUGCAGAACACGAACUGCUCCGUCAAACUUUUGGUCAUGCUGUUGUUGAUGGUUUUUUUUUUUUCUCGGAAAUUUGUUGUGUAUAAGCCCAUUUGUUGGUUUUUUUUUUUUUUUCAUUUCGGCCAAAAUCUGUUCGUCCAUCAAACGUUAUUGGUUAGUCAUUUCUGUUAACUAUUCUGAUUGAGAAACUGUGCUCAUAAAAGGCCCCUGCUGCUCAUCAGAUGAUUGUAGACAGUUUUGGCAUAAAUACUGGAAUAGGAAUUAACUUUGGGUUCAAUACAGUUCUUGUUAAAGUUUCUACCCAGAUUUUUGUUUUCAACAUUGUGGUAUUGAUUGACUAAAAUUCAAUUGAGAAACAAUGUUUGACAUUUAUGUGAAAGUAACCACAUUUUUUGGUUCGUAUUUACUUAAUUGAAAUUCUGUAUGUAUGACAAGUAGGUUUCCAUUUUGUAUGAAUCUGCUGUUUAUACUUCCUCACGAAUGCUUCAUGUAUGAGAAACCAUGACAUACCACGAUAAAUUUGCAUAUGCUUCUGUUGUUUGCCAUGUUACUAGUUUAAUUACUUGUCCCACAUUUUGUACAUCAAUUUCAUUUGAACUCACUUUUCAAAUGUAAUAAAAUAGAAACACAGCUUAAACUUAAAUAGAACUAGAUUCGUAAAUUAUUCUCAAUCCUGCAAACCAAACAAACAACCCAAACUGAAAGACCAAACUCUUUGAAAGCUCACAGUCAAACAAGUUGAAAAAAUCAUUAUUUACAAAUUUCAGUUGUUUUUUUAAAAUUUAGUUGGAUUCAAUUUGUAAAACUAUUUCACAAUUUCUUACAAAAUUUAAUGUUCCCACGACUAUGGACACGAACAAGAUGGGGACUUUUGUAAACAAGUUUUCAUCUCUUAAUUGCCAUUUUUUUCCUCUGGUUUGCUACCGUGUUCGGAAACAGUGGAUGGCUUCCUUUAUGUCCACUAGCACGUCAACAUGACCACAGCGAAUGUGUGCUUGCAGCUAUGGCCAUUGUUUUGUUAAGGUAUCCAGAUCUUACAAAAAUUAUGGUCGUGCAUAUUAUGUUUGCCUCCGGCUUGUGGUGAGUAGUGUCAAAUAUGCUAUUUCUAACUCCAUUGAAGGGCAAAAUAAUUGUUCCAUAACUAACUAGUGUUACGUUACUCAUUAGCAAUGUGUCAAUUGGAUUGGUUGGUGUGAUGAAUCAGGGAAAUGGACCCCCGAGCGUGACUCAUCCCCAAGUGAAGUCAUGCAAUUAUGGGCUGAUGUCGUGCAAAUUUUUAAUACCUUGUGUGUCAUGAAAAUAGUUAUUUUUGUGUUAUCCAUAAUGGUUAUCAUAUUAUUAUUGCGUAUGUAAAACCUCGUAACCACAUCGUUUAUGUACGUUUGAUGUUUGUUUAAUUAGUACAUGACGUGACAAAACUAGACUAUUGUAAAUGCUACUUGCUGUUACUUAUUAUGUACAAGUUUUUUGGUGUAUGUUUCAUUUUCAUUUUGCAUAUCGCAUUUGUUCGUGAGAUGUUGUCAAAAUUUUCCGUUUCUAAUUUAUGUAACAUGUGUAAAACACCUUCUACCAUAACUAGUGCAAUGGCUACAACGCAUUCGUCCCCUCGAACACCGUCCAAAAAUAAAGGGGUUGGACACUUCGCCAGUGAAGGUUUGUUGAUUACAUCGAUCAUUCACAUAAAGCAACUUGGGACAGUGCAUCAACCAAAAUCUUCUUAGAGUGUGUUCGGGAGGAAAUUUUAGCAGGCCAUAGGCUAGGUACAACUAUCAUGGCUGUAGGGUAUAAGGAAAUUGCUGUGAAUUCAUUCAGCGCACGGGUAGACGUCAUGACAUGAAACAGUUCAAGAACAAGUACCUUGCUUUGAAAAAGGAAUGGCAGGCUUGGAAUAAGUUGAUGGACAGUAGUAAGAUUGUCACCGGCAUUGGGUUUGAUAAGGCCACCAGCUUGUCAAUGCGUCAGAAGAGUGGUCGGAAAAUCUAAAAUCAACAAACAAGCUUGCAUACAAGUUCAAGACUAAGCUAUUGAAGCAUGAAGAUUUUAUGCACGAAGUUUCCAUAGGUGUAACCACAAUUGGGAAACAUCAUUGGACCCCCGGCGAGCAGGUUACGAACAUUGCGGAUAGUGAAUCUGAUUCAGUUGACUCCCCUAGUUUGCAACCAUAUCGACAGGUGGUUGACUCACCUACACACUCCCCCACCGUCCAGCUGGAUGAUGCAGAGUAGGGGUCAAAGAGGAAGAAUAGAGAUAGUACAAGUGGCAAGUCGAAGAAGUUCUCCAGUGGCGCAUUAGUGCUUGCGAACAGUUUCAACCAUCUCUUGGUGGCAGUUCGUUCACAAAAGCACCUCACGGUCAGGCACGGAACUGGUGCAUCUCAGAAGUGUGGCAUUGAGGCAUGCAUGCAGAGGAUUAUGGCUAUACGCAACUUUAUCAGUACGCCUUUUUUCCAUUUUGCCUUCAUUGCACUGGAGAACGCAGAUUAUCGUGAGAUACUAAUGUGCAUGCCUGAUAAUGGUAAUGUGGUCGGUUGGCUUGCAGCAUUGAAGGCUUCGAAAGAGCUGUGAGUCCCAGGGUUUGAUGUUUUUGGGAGAAAUAUGAAACUGUGUGGUGUUUGUGGACAUUAAUUGUGUUGUUAUGUUUAUUUAUUUUCCGUUUUUCCUAGCUUCGCUUUUCAGUACUGUUGGUUAAAUUUUAUGUUUUGGGUCAAUGGAUGCGAAGACUACGUGUUAAACAUUUUAUGCAAUUGCGUAUCCAGUAAUGCUUUAUGGAAGCAUGGUUUAGGUAUUAGUUUUGCUAAAUUGAGAACUAGAAUUGAUAUUCAUGGAAUGGAUUACUGUUUUUGGUUGGUA